GGGGGGGGGGGGGGGGGGGGGGGGGGGGGGGGGGGGGGGGGGGGGGGGGGGGGGGGGGGGGGGGGGGGGGGGGGGGGGGGGGGGGGGGGGGGGGGGGGGGCGGGGGGCGGGGGGGGAAGGGGGGGAAGGGCUUUGUUUGUACAACAAACCGCCACAUGGAUAAAAUGAAAGAACAGAUGUUUAUGGUGAUGGAUAACAGCACCAUGCAAAAUGACCUCAAAUCAAUAUUCUUCACAGCCUGGCAAUAAAAGCAGAGAUAGUCCCUUGAAACAUCCCUCUCUUUGUCACAGAUUAUUUUUGAAAGUCUUAAUAUAGAAGGAAAGUGAGAGUAUCUCCCUUUCCUUGUUUAGACAACGUGGCUCACGAAGAUAUUCCUGUGCCCUGGUGAUGUCAUAAACCAAAGGAAUGAGGGUGAAGUCAUCAGAAAGGGAGA
rnacentral:lncRNA from 12 species